UUUAUUGAGAGUUUGAUCCUGGCUCAGGAUUAACGCUGGCGGCGUGCCUUAAGCAUGCAAGUCAAGGGAGUCCCGAUUUAUCGGGACGACCGGCGGACGGGUGAGUAACGCGUGGGAAUCUACCUUAGAGUGAAGCAUAGCCUCUCGAAAGAGGGGGUAAUUCUUCAUAACAUCGCAAGAUUAAAGUCGCAAGACGCUUUAAGAUGAGCCCGCGUCCUAUCAGCUAGUUGGUGGGGUAAUGGCCUACCAAGGCGACGACGGGUAGCUGGUCUGAGAGGAUGGUCAGCCACAACGGGACUGCGACACGGCCCGUACAUCUACGGAUGGCAGCAACUGGGAAUAUUCGGCAAUGGGCGAAAGCCUGACCGAGCGACGCCGCGUGGAGGAUUGAAGGCCCUCGGGUUGUAAACUCCUUUUGUCUGGGAAGAUUAUGACGGUACCAGAAGAAUAAGCACCUGCAAACUACGUGCCAGAAGCCUCGGUAAUACGUAGGGUGCGAGCGUUAUCCGGAUUUAUUGGGCGUAAAGAGUUGCGUAGGCUGUAUGACGCAUUCUGUUUGAAAUC
rfam:Candidatus Daviesbacteria bacterium RIFCSPHIGHO2_12_FTLL_37_11 rifcsphigho2_12_scaffold_30755, whole genome shotgun sequence.